UUCAAUUAUAUUGAGCGUCCAUAAGCAGUUGGUGAAAAGACUGCGCCGAGGUGCAAUUUUCAGAAUUAUGUGACAGAACAUUUUCUGAUUCUACAAAUACUGGCUGCGAAUAUUCAUUCUCAGAAACACGUAGACGUGGUAUUUGAGUAAUCACUGUAGGAAAAGGUUCUGGAAUAGAUGACGAUGAAGUGCAUGGGGUCGAUGCGCAUGAUAUUCUUCAGAUUCUUGGAUUCCUUUGGACGGUGUUUAUUCGCACAGCAUUCAUAUUGAGGUUACCUAGCUGUCCAUGKAGUACAAUCUCCGCAAUACAGCGUUUUGCAUAUAUUUGCUGCUCCGUGGAAUUCAGCAAAUACGUCAGUAUGGCCUUUUCAAGAAAUUCUGAAUUGUUACUCAAAAAAAACGAAAAUAAGUGGUAAUUUUUUGCUGAUGACUUCUAUACAAUGUGGAACUUCUCCAACUGCAUUGGAGCAUUAGACGGCAAGCAGGUCGAAAUUAAGAAAACCACCUGGAACAGGCACAUAUUAUUACAAUUAUAAAAAAUUCUACUCUAUUGUUAUGAUGGCCGUUGAAGUUGGUGCAAAUGGAAGAGCAUUUUAUGGUGGAAUAUGCGGUCAAAGCAAAUUUAAAAAGAAAUUUGAUAACAAUGAAUUGUAUAUUCCCCAAGCGGCAAUAGUCCCCAUGAGUUUGCUCUUUAUCGACAUAUUAUCUUUUGGUGUCACUCUGUGCAUUCACAAGAGGGAAAAGAAUCCUCAUAUAUAUAAAUAAUUACGAUGAAUCUGGUAGAAGACUAUUUUUAAUACCCACUCCCUUCACUCUUCCCUUUUCUUCAAUAUGUAUUAAAUACCCGCUAUUAAUAUUUUCAAGACUGCGUCGCAUUCUUACAUCGGAUAACAAAAACGCUUACACAGCACAUAGUACACUUUUAAAUUCUACUUGAUUCUUUCAGUUUUCAGUACACAAA